UACGUAGGGUGCAAGCGUUGUCCGGAAUUAUUGGGCGUAAAGAGCUCGUAGGCGGUCUGUCGCGUCGGCUGUGAAAACUCGGGGCUCAACCCCGAGCUUGCAGUCGAUACGGGCAGACUAGAGUGCUGUAGGGGAGACUGGAAUUCCUGGUGUAGCGGUGAAAUGCGCAGAUAUCAGGAGGAACACCGGUGGCGAAGGCGGGUCUCUGGGCAGUAACUGACGCUGAGGAGCGAAAGCGUGGGGAGCGAACAGG
rnacentral:rRNA from 1 species